CCUACGGGAGGCAGCAGUGGGGAAUAUUGCACAAUGGGCGAAAGCCUGAUCCAGCAAAGCCGCGUGAGCGAUGACGGCCUUCGGGUCGUAAAGCUCUGUUCUCCAGGACGAUAAUGCCGGUACUUGAGGAGGAAGCCCCGGCUACCUACGUGCCAGCAGCCGCGGUCAUACGUCGGGCGCUCGCGGUAUCCGGAAUUACUGGGCGUAAAGGGUGCGUAGGUGGUUUUUUAAGUCAGAGGUAAAAGGCGAGGGCUCAACCGGAGUAAGUCUUUGAAACCGGGGAACUUGAGUGCAGGAGAGGAGAGUGGAAUGCCUAGUGUAGCGGUGAAAUGCGUAGAUAUUAGGAGGAACACCAGUUGCGAAGGCAGCUCUCUGGACUGUAACUGACACUGAGGCACGAAAGCGUGGGGAGCAAACAGGAUUAGAUACCCGAGUAGUC
rnacentral:rRNA from 1 species